UGCAUAUAUCAGAUAUUGGUAACAAGGUUGUUAGAAAAACAGCUUUACAUUAAAUCUUAGUUUGCUGUACUUGGUGCUUUUUCUGUAACUUUUUUGCUACAGCAAUCGCAUUAGGUCAGACCUGGUAAUAUUAACAUAUGACUUUCAACAUGGUAGGAAUCUGAACUGACAGAGUAGCAAUCAGAGUUCAUUAAAAAGGACAAAAAUAGGAGCAAUUGGAGUAAUAAUGAAAAGGUUAGCUUAUAGAAUUAAAGCACAGAUUCAGCAGAUACGAUGGUGUGAGACAGAUGAUUAGAAACUUAAGGGUUGGGAGCCUCAUGAACAGUCACCAUUUGGAUUCAGAAUUGAACAGGAUGGAUAGAAGGACUUGCUCUGAUGACUGAUUUGAAAAGACAUUAAAAUCUGGGUUAGGAGAAUAUGUUAUGCUAGUCUUACUCUAUAAGUGGCAUGUUUCCAUUUUUCUUUCAAUAUACAUUAUUUAAAGAAAUGAUUCUCCUCAAAAACAAGAUGGUUAAUGUUUCCCUCUUGCCAGUGAUGCUAUUUUCAGUGUUCUUAGGGCUACAAUGACAAGUUAACCAGCAACACUUCCCUGAAGAAAAGCCAGCUACUAUGUGACCUGAAGGUGGCAUUAAACUCCAUUCUUUGGACUGUGUUGGAUCACUGUUUCUCAUAAGGGUUAUUUUAUGAGCCAGUUAGCUAGUUAAUUAUUUUUGAUUGGACUGUAAGCCUUAGCCCCACAUAACAGGGCUGAGAGUGAGCAGCCAGCAGUCUUACAGAUGGUAAAUGAUCAGUCUUUGUGUUUUGAGUUAAUGCUUAGUUUCAGAGCCUCCUGUGUGAGAGGGUAUGAUUAGUAAACGUGUUUCUGUAUAAGGGAACUGUGCUUGUUCUUGUAGCCCCAACUGCAGCAACCUCAUUGAAAACUGGUGUGUGUGUUCCCAGGUGUCAUGUUCCCAUUUCUGCUGUUUGGAGCUGGAGCUGAUAAAUGCCUGCAAACACUGGGGUCAAUUGCUGCAGGGCUGAAUGUUGCUCUAAAAAGCUUUGCCAUUGCACUAAAAAGCCAAAUACUAA